ensembl:ncRNA lncRNA:CR44022 long non-coding RNA:CR44022
ACUCCCACCUCGUAAUUAGCGUGAGAUUCUCUGAUAACCCACAUCCAUUUCCACUUCCGAGGAGGAGGUGCCCCACUUGGGGAUCUGUUUCUGUUUGGGAUUCUGAUUCAGCUGUAGUACCAGCAGUUUCAGUUUGUUUACACACCGGAGUCCCCAAUCGCAUCUUAUGAAUGGCCCACAUUGUGAACGCAAUGAAAUAAAAUCACUUGUUUGUUUAUCCAGCCAACACUUCGAAUGGCGUUAAUUUGUAAGCCAAACAAAUGUGUACCUAAAUGCAUGCAGUCAAGUGACGGAAAAGUAGCUGGUGCACCGAGAAAAAUGAAUGAUCGUUUUGAAAGAAAAGUGAAAAUAACUAACACAUAUUUUGUUGUUAUAAGAUUUUUCCACUUAAUUCAUACAUUUAUUUGUCAAGAAACCUGCAUUAUUAACCAAUUACAAUCAUUAAUUGCAUCAUAGUUAAGUAUAUAGCUAUAUAUUUCAACUGCAUUUGCGCUGGAAUC